CCGGGGCGCGGCCUUAGGGUCGGAUUUUUCCCCCCGGCGGUGUACAUACUGACCAGGACCGUCUGCUAUUCUGCAGCUAGUAAAAAACCCGCCCCUACCUGAAGUUGCACUGGGAGAGCCGUGGCCCUGACGGCCCUGCGGAGCCGCCGGAGCCUUGGGGUCCUUUCCUGUGCCCCCCACCCCCGCCCCGAUCAUGCUUCAGCAGCCAGAGCUGAGAGGGGAGGGGAGCUGGCCCGGGUCAGGCGUCCCCGGGUGCGAUCUGCUGCCCCGACUUAACGUAUGGAACUGGGGUCUUAGUAUCGGGAUUUGGGGCGGGAGCCCGCGCUCAGAGGCGGUGGACAUGAAAAGCCUUGGUUUGCACCCCUGUACCAGUUAGGAACCUUGACCCUGGGCAGUGGCUUAGACCCUGAGAAUUUCCCUGCGCCGACCUGCCAAAUACAGUUAGCUCCAUCACGCGUGAGGGCUGAGCUGUGGCCGACCUCCCUGACAGCUUUGUCGUCCUAAUACGUCAUCUCACAGCCCAGGCUGGCCUCAGACUUGGAAACUGCCUCAGUCUCCCAACUACCAGAAAUCAGAUAUGAACCACACUCAGCUGCUUCUCUUAGACUAUAGGAAGGAAGUUUUGUCUGAUUCCCUGGAGCCAUUUCAGCGCCAGGUGUGGUGGACAGCUCCAAGUGACCGGAAGAAAGCCAAGCCAGGGCUUUCAAGCCUCCUGCCGCACCUGCAAUCCAGUCUGACACAGGGAGGCGGCCAACUCCACUGCGGCUCACACAGCUGUGAAGUGAGCGCCUGGUUCUUCUAGGCAACCUGAUCUGUGCAAGGCCCUUGAUGUCUCCUUUUGAACCCUGGAAAGGUCUCUUGGAUGCUCUGAGCCUUGAGUUACAGAAUCAAACAGCAGCGUGGUUCAUCCUUCACAUUGGGCUGUCUGUGAGGGAAGAUCCUUUAAUCUGGGCCAUACCUCCUGCCAACAGCCUAUAUAAAAGACAUGGAAGAAGAAAGCUUCUCUCUUGGUCUGCCAUCUCUGGCAAACCCAUCCCUUCACUGGCAUUAUAAUCUACUUCUGCAAGACUCUGGCAUAGACUGAAAACCAGCUGAGACAUCCAGCUUCAUACAGUGAACAACUAUCGGAUUACUGGACCUGCCAUUGGUAGACAGCCAUUGUUGGAUGAGCCUGAGAUGGAUCGCUGAUGGAAGGUGAGGAAGGCCCGGGGGUCCUGCCCUCAGGAGUGGAUGGAUGCUGUUCCAGUCUCCCGCUGCUUGUCUCGUUAUGUGGUUAUGCCUGCACAUGGACCUGCUGUGUGGUGCCAACUGCCACGAAGCCCCAGCACAGCUAAGUACAGACUGGUUCCAUGUUCUUAGUCUUCUAGAAUUGUGAGUUAAAUAAACCAUUUUUUUUUUCCAUCAA